GGUCGAUUAGCUCAGUUGGUUUAGAGCGUGGUGCUAAUACCUACCUAGCCUCAUCUACCCGAUGCCUGCUAGUUAGAAUACGCCAAGGUCGCGAGUUCGACCCUCGUAUUGACCA